UGUGAGCUAGGGGGCCCGGCGCGGGUGCCAUCGCAGCGGGGCGCGUGGGAAGGCCAGUGUGCACGCGAAGGUCCCACUCCAGCUGGACCCUGGGUACCUGGCUGAAGACUUUGGACUUUAACCUGGAGAUGAUGGAGAGUAUGCAGGAUAAAGUCCAUACCAAAUCCAACGCCUAGCAAAUGGAGAACAAGCCAAAACUAACAAGAUAAAAUGUAGCAGGAAAAAGUGCAAAGAGCUGAAGUGUGGAAUAAGUGGGAGAGGUCUGCCAUGCCCUAUCUGACCUUGCUGCCAUGAUCUUUAAGGCUGUGUGUCCUGGUUGGUGCAGCUACAAGAUGGCAGAAAUGCCUAAGUGAUGGUAUGGAACAGAGGAUCCCUCUUCUCACCAUUGUCUUGCAUGUUUCCUUGUGUGAACCACAAAUAAACUUUUGUUAUGUUAAGCUGC
rnacentral:lncRNA from 1 species